UUUUUUUUUUAAGUAACAGGUAUUUAAAUUGAAUUUUUGUGUUUGAACUACAAAAAGAUGUGUUAACUCAAUAGAUGUUAAGGUUAGAACAAUAAAGCUUAUUCUCAACUUAGAAUUAAUCAGUGACAAUGUAUUUGUGAAUAGUUCCUCCCCUGCAGUCUAAACUAUAUUCUCAUGAUUAAUUUACCAAAAGAUGAAAAUCAAACAAUCCAAGAGUAUAUAAUAGUAUGAGUAUAAGUGAAGUAUGAGGUUAUUGUACUUUACAGAUAUUUUAACAGUUUGGGGGGUGAUGGCAAUAAUACUACUGCAUGGAGCAGUAGGUGUAAUGAAGCCCUGGUUUGGGUGAUACAAAUUGCCCACAUGUGGAGUCAAGAGAUGGAGGAUUUUAGGGAAAGCCUGGGCAUUGGGUACAUGAACAUGAGGCCAGGGAGCAGGGGUCAUCUGUUGGUACUUACUUGUAAUGGGGUGAGGUGGUGUUCACAGAAGCUGUGGUGUAGUGCUUGUUUUAAUCAGCUUUUUCGCUGCUGUGACUAAGAUUUGACCAGAACAUUUUUAAAGGAGGAAAGGUUUAUUUGAGGGCUCACGAUUUCAGAGGUCUUAGUCCAUAGAAGGCGGGCUCCAUUCUUUGGGGCUCAAGGUGAGGCUGAACAUCAUGAAAGAAGAGUGUGGCAGAGGGAAGCAGCUCACACAGUUAUCAGGAAGCUGAGAGAGAGAGAGAGACUCCACUCGCCAGAUACAAAAGUUACCCCAUAGCCAUGCUCCCAAUGAACCACUCCCUCCAGCCACACCCUACUUGCCUUCAGUUACCACUCAGUUAAUCCUCAUCAGGGGAUUCAUUUACUGAUUGGGUUAAGGCUGUCACAAUCCAAUCAUUUCUCCUCUGAACCUCUUGCACUGUCUCACAUGUGAGCUUUUGGGGGACACCUCACAUCCAGACCUUAACAGUGCUUUAUCCCUUGCCUGGAAUUCUUCCUGUCUCAUAUUUAUUCAAUUUUCC
rnacentral:lncRNA from 1 species